rnacentral:rRNA from 1 species
GUAGGUGGCAAGCGUUGUCCGGGAAUUAUUGGGGCGUAAAGCGCGCGCAGGCGGUUCGUUUAAGUCUGAUGUGAAAGCCCACGGGCUCAACCGUGGAGGGUCAUUGGAAACUGGAGAACUUGAGUACAGAAGAGGAAAGCGGAAUUCCACGCGUAGCGGUGAAAUGCGUAGAGAUGUGGAGGAACACCAGUGGCGAAGGCGGCUUUCUGGUCUGUAACUGACGCUGAGGCGCGAAAGCGUGGGGAGCAAACAGGAUUAGAUACCCUGGUAGUCCACGCCGUAAACGAUGAGUGCUAAGUGUUAGGGGGUUUCCGCCCCUUAGUGCUGCAGCUAACGCAUUAAGCACUCCGCCUGGGGAGUACGGCCGCAAAGGCUGA